GUACAGGUGCUGCAUGGCUGUCGUCAGCUCGUGUCGUGAGAUGUUCGGUUAAGUCCGCUAACGAGCGCAACCCUCGCUGUGUGUUACAAGUGUCACACGGAACUGCCGGUCAUAAACCGGAGGAAGGUGGGGAUGACGUCAAGUCAGCAUGGCCUUUAUAUCCCGGGCUACACACACGCUACAAUGGGAAGGGACAAUAGGUUGCGAAGCCGCGAGGUGGAGCCAAUCCAGUAAAACUUCCCUCAGUUCAGAUUGCAGGCUGCAACUCGCCUGUAUGAAGUUGGAGUUGCUAGUAAACGCAGGUCAGCCAUACUGCGUUGAAUACGUUCCCGGGGCUU
rnacentral:rRNA from 1 species